AUUAGGCAGUUGGUGAGGUAACGGCUCACCAAACCCACUAUCCAUAGCUGGUCUGAGAGGAUGAUCAGCCACACUGGCACUGAGACACGGGCCAGACUCCUACGGGAGGCAGCAGUGAGGAAUAUUGGGCAAUGGACGAAAGUCUGACCCAGCCACGCCGCGUGCAGGAUGACACCCCUAUGGGGCGUAAACUGCUUUUAUAUGGGAAGAACCCUCUCGAUUCGUCGGGAGCUGACGUACCAUACGAAUAAGACCGCUAACU
rnacentral:rRNA from 1 species